GAGCUCUAUGUAUCUAACAUUUGAAACGCCUGCAUCAAUUCCACUACUUCAUGCAUGCAUGUUUUAUUUUAAAACAUGUCAUCCAGAAUGACAUGCUUGACAUGGAGAACCCGCGAUACAUGUCGGGAGGAAUGCUUCGUGCCAAUUAGGAAAUCAAUUUCCACGAUGAAUAAAUCAAAUCAUCUUUAUUCUCCCUGGAGGGACGUUUUCGGUUGUGGCCGUCUCUGACGCAAGCAUUGCGUGCUUUGAUGGCAGAUUGAUGUCAUAUUAGGCAUGAUGGCAUGUUGAUGUGAUAUUGCGCCGAUAUCAUGGGCCUAUGAUGGCCCAUGUCAUGGUCUAGUCUGCCGUCCAGAUGUUGUGCGUGUCGUUAUGUGAACCGUUGCAUAACGCAUGAAGGGGCAAAUUGAUUUUUACUGGAGACAUUUAUAAUAUGAAUUACUUAGGAAACCGACCGUUGCCCCCAACCCUAGCCGAUGAUCUUGGAUUCCUGAUCUACGCCCCUUCGCUACCAGACCGAAAAUCCAACCAAGAUAUCGUAUCGAAUCCUUCCCCUCCUGCCUCCCCCCCUCCUCCCACACGCUCCUCACGCUAGUUUUAGUUUCUUCUGGAUUACGAAUUUACGAUUGCAUAUUUUAAAUGACGUCCGCGUCCGAGUCAGGGAACCCCCAACAGCGGCAGCAGCGGCUGGUCGAUCACCAACUGCAGCCAGGCGGAAGCGCCGCUCCGCCGCCGUCCAGCUGGAAGCUCUCCUUGGAGGAGAUCAUCAAGUACUUCUCCCUCCCCAUUGCGGAGGCCGCGUCUGUCCUUGAGUGCAGGAUGCAGAGUAAGAGGGAGGAGUUGGAGUAAAAAGAUGCGGAGGGCAGAAAAUUCAAAUAAAAACAGACUUCAUUGCUUUUUGUCCAUUGCCUGAGAUCUGCCACCUGUUGUCUGAGUAAGUUUGCUGUUUGACAUUCAACAUAAAAGCAGACUUCAUUGCUUUUUGUCCGUUGCCUGAGAUCUGCCACUUGUUGUCUGAGUAAGUUUGCUGUUUGACAUUCAUUGCCAGCUGCUAUCAUUAUUCCCUUUGCUUUCUUCUUGUCGAAUUCUCUCUCCAUCUAUUAUUUAUGGUUGAAAGAUAAAUAAAGGGUGAAGUGAAUUUUAAAGCCUUCUCAACAUGUCCUGCCUUGUUGGAGUGUCUUGUUUUGUACAUAGGGCAAAACAACAAAUAAGCUGAAGGGUAUUCAGACUUAUUUGGAAUUAGAAAGAAAUCAGCUGUGAGUUUUGUAGUAAGAGGGGGAACGGUUCACUCUUGUGUUGGUUGGCAAAGAACAAAGAUGAGUCCAUAUUAUGCUCGUAUGGUUUAUAUACUUUUUUGUAUUACUGGAAGCGGGGCUUGGCUCACUAAUGAAGGGGAAAAGAUUUCCCAUUGACAUGUGUAUUUCAAGGAGGGAAAGAAAGGGCUGCCGUUGAGAGGAAAGGAAAAGAAAGUUCACAUGGAACUCUAGCGUGCUAGUAUGUUCUUGGUUCUUUUUCUUUCCCUUUUCCAGCUAUGCUUUUCUGUGAAUGUUCUGGAUUGUUUUUUGUAUAGGCAUCAAAUGGUGGAGUCUCUUUACUAGGUAUUUGGGAAUUAUUUAAUGGAGCCCUGUGUUUAAGGUUAAGUUUGCAUACAGAAAGCCCUGUGUUUUAGGUUAUCGAGGAGGCUGCAGCAUGAGAAGGAUUUUAGCAACAAAAAGUGGGGCGUUCUCUCAGAAGGUUAGCGGCAAUCUCGUCUUAUUCUUGUAAUAUUUACUAGGGGUUUCUUCGAGGGGAAUGGCUGUAUCACUCCAUGUGUUUGAAAUAUUGUUAGGGAACAUCUUUUUCUUGCUUUCUAGUGGAUCUCUCUGUGACUUUUGAAGGCUUACAUAGCUCAGUUCUGGGCCAACCACAUUAUUCUUGUGCCUACUAAGUUUCUAUCUUUAUUUCUGUGCUUGAACUAUUUUAUUGUGUUUUGUGUGUAAUUGCAUUGAAUUGUGCAGGUUGUUUCUCUUACAGCUUGUUGGCCAAUCCUCAUAUCUUUGUCCAUCCCAUAUAUCUCUGGUUUACUUGCAUACUGGUCAGAUCACAUGUGCAAGUGGUUUUGGCCUAUUUUGGUGCCUAAGUGAUUAACAAGCAACUUGGUUGCAUAUGAGGGUAACGUUGGCCGUAUGUGUGACAGCACAUUCAAAGGUCCUAAAACAAUGCAAUAUGCUUUUAAAUGAUGCCAAUUGAUUUUCCUUGCUUACCUUGUUUUUAUCUAUUUUCCACUUUUCCUGUUUUUAUUAUCUAUUUUAGGUUUUCUGUGAUUCUUAACCAAAACUGCAAACAGUAAAACUCAUUGGGUAUGCCUGAAACCAAAACACUGAUGUUUUGAAUCUUUAUUAAGAUUUUAUGUAGCAAGAAUAGGAACAGGAAAGAAAACUAAACAGCGGUUGAUCCAUUAAGAAAAUAUAUUGGCCAAUUAAUUGCUAGAAAAAGUAGAGGAGAUAUGAGCUGGCAAGUAAGGAGUCCAAGGAAGGGGUCAUGAAAGACCAAAAACCUUCAGCUAAAGAGCAGAAGGUUCAUCGGAAUUGCAAGGACCCAAGUUUAAGAUAUGACAAAAUUGGCAUGGUGUAGCUUGUUAGUGAUUUGGAGUGGAGGCAAAAUUUAAUAGUUAGUGGCCAUAAUCACCUAAUAACAGCACCAAUGCUGAUGGAAGUUGACCGAAAACUGAUCGAAUGCUCCUAGAUAGAGCCAAAGGUGUCGAAAACCAAACGAAAUGAUCUUUACAAGUUUUUAGUAGAGGAAGUGAUCCAAGUUAAAGUCAAAUCAGAUGGAAUUAGAAGGGUGCCAUUUGUUGGACUUGUAAACAUAAAAUAGAGAUAGAAGGAAUUUACUCUAGUUUGUGACUGAAGCUUAGUAAGGUCAAAAUGACCAUUCCACUCAGAUCUUGUUUUUGAAUAUCCUAAUUGGAAAGAGCAAAAUAAAAAGAAAGAGAAAACUACUUUAGUUGUAAGCUUUUAGUGCCAAACUGAAACCACUGAAAUACGAUGUCUCUGGAUGACCAAAUUUUUUUGAACAUGUCAUUCUGUUUAAAAUAAGUUUUCACAUAAUAGUUGGUCCAAUAUGAUCCAAUAUAGAGGCAUUCCUACUUACAUGGAGGAAUUUAAAAGUGGAUUUCCAGCGAGUGGCUUGUCAUCUGUUUCUAUCAAAUGGUGGGGAAGCAGCAGCAAGGAAGAUACUGGAAGGACAUUGCCAGAAGAAACCAUAAAAGGGGAGAAUCAAGAAUCCCCUGAGUUGUCAAAUGAAAUUUCUAGGCAUAUGGCGAAAGCUAAUCUCCCUGACGGGCCUGACCAUAGUACAGAGGACAGUGCCACUCUAACUGAGCCAUCUGCUUCCUUGUGCUCACUGAGAAGAAAAGCUGUAGAAUGUGGCCAUGAAACAUUGAAGGGUGGAGCUUCUAAGGGCUAUACAACUUACAAGUGGGGGAAGAGACACAGGUUAGCAUUAUUCCAAGUAUUUAAAUCAUCAUUACCAGAUCAAUGGAUGAAUGCCCUCUCUUGAUCUUAGGGCUGUCCCAUAAUUCAUUAGUCAUGACUUCAGAAGGUAAGGCCUUUACUCUUAAUUCAUUAUUGACAAAUUUCCGACAACUCAAGAGAAGACUGCAUGUUAGCUGGCUAGCUGACCUGAAGAAUCGAUUGCUAUAACUGCUGUUUAUUCAUUAUCAUUUUAACUCGUUCCACCUCAGGGUCCGCUUUAAACAUGGCUGACAACUGCAAUAGGCUACUUUUAGUGCCAUCUUCGCGCCUUUGUAUAAAUCUGUUUUUUCCCCUUUUGCAAGCACGAUACCGAUACGAUUUCUUAGUGUACUAUAUAUGUACCAAGACUUGGGGUUCAGAGAAAAGUUUUUUGCCCUGUCUCCAACACUUGUAUCCCUCAUCCGUUGGCUGUAUUAUCCAUUAUCAUUUAGAUUUUGUUACAGCGCAGUAGAUAGUCUUGCUAGUUAUCUUAGUUAACGAGUUUGUUUCUAAAGUGGGUUUUAGUUACCAGUACUGGAUUUUGCUGAUAAAAGGUUGUCCUGAAUAUAACCUCUGUCUGCAGGCUUAUGCAUCCUACUCAAGGCGUAGCAUUUAAGUUUCAUCUGUGGUGAGCAAGUAAUAUAAUGGCUUCGACUGCUCAGGCACCAGGGGUACUUAAACGCUAUUGUUGUAUUCUCAAUUAGCUAUCAUAACAAGCAUAUGACCUCAUUUUCGUUCUUCUGGUCGAUCAAUUUAAUCAUACCUUAAUAGUUUACAUCCCAUGUCCCAUCUUGGAACGAAACAAAAAUUCAUCCCGCCAGCUGAGGGCCUUUUCUUCUGCUCACUUCUCAAGUCGAUUUGUACAAUAUUACCCUACGAAAGUAUGGGUUAUGCGGAAAUUCAUGAACUUCUCAACAGGACCUGAUAGUAUAGAAAAAAGAAAAGAUCUGCCAUGUGGUGUUGCAUUAUUUUUAUUAUAUAAUUGUUGGGAUAAACAGCAUCACCUUAAAACCAGAUUUUGUUAUAUUCAGUCUUUUGAGACCUUUCCACCCUCCCACGGCUUCAGCAUGUGGCAUAAUGAUCCAAGUCUGAAGUUUAACUUGUAAACUAGAAACAUACUUCCUUGUUUCUGGAGUCUGACCCGUCUAGUGGUCUUUUUGAAAUGAUGCCUUUUGAUUGAAGUUUUCAUUUAUUGUACCAAGACAAUAUUAUAUUUCAUAUAUUGAGUUUUCUCUGAUUUUCUGAAUGCA